CUUUGCCUUUUUUUGAUUUUUUUUUGUGUCCCCUGCAACUCUGUCUAUCCAAAUUAAAGAGAGAGAGAGAGAGAGAGAGAGAGAGAGUCUAAGCGCUGGAUCUUUAUUUAUAAGCUUUAUACUACGUAUAAUACAAUUCAGGUAGUGUAAUGGCGAAUCGAGUGAAAGAAGAUGAGAAGAAUGAAAGAAUAAUUCGGGGACUUCUGAAACUUCCCGAGAAUCGCAGGUGCAUUAACUGUAAUAGUCUGGGACCACAGUAUGUUUGCACAAAUUUCUGGACUUUUGUUUGCACCACCUGUAGUGGAAUCCAUCGGGAGUUUACACACCGAGUAAAAUCAGUAUCAAUGGCUAAAUUUACUUCACAAGAAGUUGUUGCUCUUCAAGAAGGUGGAAACAAGCGUGCAAGAGAAAUUUAUCUUAAAGAAUGGGAUCCACAGCGUCAUUCUGCCCCCGAUGGCAGUAAUG
rnacentral:misc_RNA from 1 species